GCCUUGUGCAGUUAACGCUACAGUUCGUAAAAUAAGGCAUUUCCGAGGUAUUUGACUCAAAAGGAAUUAGAGACGGCUAUGAAGGGGAUGGAUGAAGACAAUAACAAUCAAAGUCAAAUCUACUAAUUUUGAAAGAAAACGCCAUCUAGUGCCAAGAAAUGUAUUUAUGCCGGAAAAUGCCACCUAGUGCCCAGAAAAUGAAUAUGACAAUUACACUUCAAGUUGUGCCUGCCGCAAGGUCUAAUAUAUCAUGAUUUCCAUAAAAUAUCUUUCUGAUGUCAAUCAUCCUUCUGAACAUCUGACAUAUCUCGGCGCGGGAAGUACGGAAUUAUAACUCAUAUUUGGAAGAAGUGUUUUGCUUUUAAGUUUUGCUCUUAAAGUGUAGAUGAGAUUAAAAAUAAAAUUGCGGUUAUAUUUUCUGGUGGUCAAAUUACUUUGACAUAUUCAAAGCAGAGAAAGGCUCUCAAUUAAAAAUGCUACUAAGGGUGUUUCAUUUACUUAAUUUAUAAAUAUUGUAAUCAGUUUAAAAUAUUUUUUUUCUCAUUCCUGCAAAGGCAAAGCUUUGUCUUGGAGAACGCAUAUCCACUGUAUUUCAAUG